AUAGCAUUGUUCAUUGUAGUCAUGUCACAAAGUCCUCUCGGCUGUUACAGGCAAGGCCCAUCAAAUGAGCAGAGACCUGUAAACAAAAAAUGAAGACUACUUAAUCGUAUCUAGAAGAAGGUACCUACCUGACUCACUCGGAAGGCACAGGUGUAUCCACUGAAGGAUCCACACAGACAAAGGGAACUCCACACCUUCACAAAGAAACUGGAACAAAAUAAAUAUGGUUCAACAAA